rnacentral:rRNA from 1 species
UACGUAGGGUGCAAGCGUUGUCCGGAAUUAUUGGGCGUAAAGAGCUCGUAGGCGGUUUGUUGCGUCGGCUGUGAAAUCCCGAGGCUCAACCUCGGGUCUGCAGUCGAUACGAGCAAACUAGAGUGUUGCAGGGGAGACUGGAAUUCCUGGUGUAGCGGUGAAAUGCGCAGAUAUCAGGAGGAACACCGGUGGCGAAGGCGCCACUCUGGGCCGAAACUGACGCUGAGGAGCGAAAGCGUGGGGAGCGAACAGG